rnacentral:misc_RNA from 1 species
AACGCACAUUGCGCCCGCCAGCACUCUGGCGGGCAUGCCUGUUCGAGCGUCAUUUCAACCCCUCAAGCCCAGCUUGGUGUUGGGGCACUGCGUCACCCGCAGGCCCCCAAAUCCAGUGGCGGACGCGCCAGGUCCCCGAGCGCAGUAGUUUCUCCUCGCUCUGGGCGGCCGGCGCGGGCUUGCCUCGCCCCAUCUCGCACAAAGGUUGACCUCGGAUCAGGUAGGAAUACCCGCUGAACUUAA